rnacentral:rRNA from 1 species
AUGGCCUGCGAUGUCGCCGCCGACGAGCCACCCGCCAUCCCCACCGCGCUCGACAAGGCCCCCGCCGUCUGCCCCGUCCAGAAGCCCCGCGCGACCCACAACUCCCCCGCCGUCUGCACCGUCCGGGAGCUCCGCGCAGGCGACGCGCCGUCCGCCAUGGGCAGGGGCCCCGAUCUCUGCGCCGGCGACACUGAGCAUGCGGCACACGAUAGAGAGCUUUUAAGCAAAGAUACAAAUCCUGACCUUUUGGAGACAAACAACAGUAGCCAAGAACAUGAUUCAGGGGAUGACACCAUGAAUGACAAACAUGAACAAAGUAUAGUGGAUCUGACAGAAACAGACGCAUCUGACGGCAUGCUGUUUGACGGCUUGAGAAGAAUUUUAGAGGAAAGACAAGAGAGGAAGCAGGAAAGGAGUGCUUUGAAAGAGAAAAGGAACAAGAGGAGAAGGCCAGAGGAAGGAAAACCCAAACGACACAUUAACAAAGAAAGAGCAACUACAUACAGCAGAUUUAGCAUUGGAUAUUUCGCAAAGAUUGUUGAUGUUGUGUGCAAAAGCAAUCAUAGGAUGGAGGUUGUUAGGAACGGUGGUUUUGGAUACUUGCUUGAGCUAGAUGAUUGUUAUGUUCCACGGCCAUUCGCACAGUGA